CAUCGACACCACACCACACUGAACACUCUGUCUUCUCUGAUCCCCAAAGCUAAGCAGGGUAAAGCCUGGGUAGUACUUGGAUGGGAGAUGAUAUGACUCCACCUGGAACUCAGGUCAUUUCCUGC
rnacentral:rRNA from 1 species